rnacentral:rRNA from 1 species
CCCUUAGAUGUUCUGGGCUGCACGCGCGCUACACUGACGCACGCAACAGGUGCCUGCUCCGAGAGGACUGGGUAAUCAUUUGAGUGUGCGUCGUGAUGGGGCUAGAAUAUUGUAAUUAUUACUCUUCAACGAGGAAUUCCUAGUAAGCGCAAGUCAGCAGCUUGCGCUGAUUACGUCCCUGCCCUUUGUACACACCGCCCGUCGCUCCUACCGAUGGGUGAUCCGGUGAAUGAUUCGGACUUCAGCGGCUCCUCUGGGGUGCGCCGGAGAAAGUUUUGUGAACCUUAUCACUUGGAGGAAGGAGAAGUCGUAACA